UAGGUUCUCACCUUUCCGGCUGCUUUUUUUGGGGGAAAAUUAAACACACACCAACGCCUUCCAGUGUGUGGAUUCUCGCGAGAGAUUCGGGGAGAGGCGACGAGCCGCUGUUUAGUACCCGCCGCAACCCUUAAUUACUUGCCGCCCUAAUUGCGCCGUCGAUUUUGCUGCGUUUUCCGGUAUCUAUCUUUUCUAUAUUUGUGCCUGCGUAUUUAUAUUAUUGUUUGGAUGAAGCGAAUUGGUUGAUGAUGUGAGGAAGUCUUGAUUCCGAUGGCUAAUUGAAGAAGGCGCAUGGCUCUGGUGAGCGGCAGCUUUAUGUGAUCAUUCGGUGUUGUUUUUGCUGACUUCGGCUGUGGGGUGGAGUGAAUUUUGGGAGUAAAGAGGAUGGACGUAGUGGCUGGCUGCAAGGUAAUCCUAGUCUUAUUAGGAGUUUAUUGAUUUCGACAUUCGGAUUGUUUAUUUAUAGUUUUCAUUUUCGUUAGAGGCUUAGAGCAGGAAUUAGCAGGUUGCACAGUCCAUCUAAUAUUGUACUGCUGUAAUCUGGAAACAAGUGUCGAUUAAGUGCUUCAUGUGAUCGUUGUUAUUUGAGUGUGCCGCUUGAUACAGAAGUUGGUAGAGACAUAGGAUUGGGUUGGGAUUGAAGCUUAAGCUUUUCUGAGUGGAGGUACAUGGAAGUUAGAAAUUUUGGUUAUUAAGAAAUGGACGAUCCUGAUAUUCUUGAGUUAGCGUUGUUCAGGUAAGAUG
rnacentral:lncRNA from 1 species